rnacentral:tRNA from 1 species
UGGGGUGUAGCUUAGUGGUAGAGCAUGUGUUUGGCAUGUGGGUGGGUGCCUGGGUUCAACUCCCAGCACCAAAA